GGCUUCGUAGCUCAGCUGGUAGAGCACUUGCCUCGUUGAGGCAUGAUGUUUCUGAUUCUGGUUCGAAUCCAGCCGAAGCCC
rnacentral:tRNA from 1 species